CCUCAAAGACGAUGAGGUAGAUAGGUUCGAGGUGGAAGUGUGGUGACACAUGGAGCUGACGAAUACUAAUCGAUCGAGGACUUAACCAAAA
rnacentral:rRNA from 1 species